rnacentral:lncRNA from 1 species
UUCACACUUACUCUGGUCAGAGAUUUUCUGAACUCAGUCUUAAAAAUUGCAUAGAAUUUCUCUUUUUCUAUUAAGAUCGAUAGAUUUCAUCUAGGUACAGCCCACUUCAAACAGCAAAUCUGAACCUACAAUAGCCAACAUACAUAGUAAAAAUCCGAAUGGCUAAGAAUCAAGAGAACAUGCAGUCAAACUAAGUAGCCUCACUGUAAAUAGUCAAUACACCAUAGGUCAAAGAACCAGUCAUACCACUGCAGCAUCGAGAAGACCACUGACGAGUGAGUAGACAUCCAAGUGAUUUUUUGUGUUGGUCACGCUCAGUGUAAGUUAUUCUCUAACAACCACCCAUACUCUCACCCCAGUGUCUCUACACUGUAGACUCAAAACUCAUCUGUCCUAAAAAAAGGUAAUCCAUACACCGAUCUAGAAUGGAUUAAUCACUAUCCUCCAUAACAAUCUUUCGAUCAGGAGCAUUUAGAAAUUAACCACUAAUGAUGUAUGUCUCAAAUUCUCAACAUCUUAAGAAUACACAAAAUCAUCUUUGUUAAUUUUUAGGACAAAUCAUGGACACAUAAGACAAUUGAUUAUAAAAAUUGCCGAUCAAGUACAAAACAUGUCCUAGAAAAAAAUAUGUGUCAG